rnacentral:rRNA from 1 species
UACGGAGGGGGCUAGCGUUGUUCGGAAUUACUGGGCGUAAAGCGCACGUAGGCGGCUUUCUAAGUCGGGGGUGAAAUCCUGGAGCUCAACUCCAGAACUGCCUUCGAUACUGGAAAGCUCGAGUCCGGGAGAGGUGAGUGGAACUGCGAGUGUAGAGGUGAAAUUCGUAGAUAUUCGCAAGAACACCAGUGGCGAAGGCGGCUCACUGGCCCGGUACUGACGCUGAGGUGCGAAAAGCGUGGGGAGCAAACAGGG